ACCACUUCCUGUUUCAUCGCGACUCACGUGACGAUGAAAUCUGCAGCGCGGCAAUACAUUCCCCAGCUUUUUAAAGGCGCGGUAACAGCGUUGCCCGGGAGCAAAAGAAGCUCAGCCAGUCGGAAGGCAAAAACGAAGAAAAGCCCAAUUCUUUUGGACAAAUUAAAUUCUGCCAUGUUCAUGUUAAGUGUCACGAUGUUUCAUAACGUGCUUAACCAACACAAAACCUUAACAUUAGCCCUAAAAGGUAGCCUCCUGGAAGCAACCCAUAGAAGAUAGUGCUUGGUGCCCCGUAUUCCCACAUUGCACUCUUCACCUCUGCAGUUAUUGCUGCCUGUUUCAGACAACCAGACUGCAAACAAGGAAUGCAUGUCAGCAAGCCCUGCCUGUCCCUUACAAUGUACAGGCAUCCAAGCAGUUUAAAAGACAGGUGUCUUCAUGCAGUCAGGAACUCUGUUGUCCAGGUGCCUCAGUUGUACAAUAGUGAGCCUAUAUGUGUAUACUUCUUAUGGGUUUAGGGGCUGUUAACAUGGUUAGGAUGGGGCAAAUAGUGUUGCCAUACUCCUGCUCACAUACACCCACCACAUGUUCACUGUGCAUGGCUUGAUCAAUUGCAGAGCUCUCAGGUUGUGCACAACUGAUGUACUGUUGCUGCCUUUUGCUUUGGGCCCGACUGACGUAAUCUCUCAAAGGGGAAGAAAACAGGACGUGCAAAGGUUUCUGUCCUUGUUUUCACUUCUUUUUCUCCCCCCUCCCACUUUAUUUCUCGAAUUCUCCCUUGGAAUGUGCAACUGCUGGAGGCUGCUACCUUGUGACUAAAGUAGCUCAAUGGUGAGCAUGCCGAAAAGAAUGCAUGCCCUAUUGCUGGGCCAGAAAGCUGCAUGGCCCCUCUUAAAGGGGAAUGUUGGAUUGUUUAAGUAGAAACACUGGUGAAUGACAUCAUUUUUCUAUCCAAACCAUGCCACCUGUGAUCCAUAUAUGAAAUCCAUAUAUUAGGAACUGGCAGGAACAGCAAAGGGGGGGGGAGCAAAGUCAGGAAGUUGUAGAGAGUGGCAAUGGGGUGGGGAACUUGCAGUGUGCCCAGGGAUACAGUCUUUGAGAAUGGACUUACUAUAAGUCUCCAGUAACCUUUCCUCACAAGGAAAUAACCCUUCUGGCAGCUGCAGGUUACAUAUAUGGCUGCAGAGCCAGAGGUUGGGAGCUCAAUACCCCAUCUGUGCCU